GUGGGGAAUAUUGGACAAUGGGCGCAAGCCUGAUCCAGCAAUGCCGCGUGGGUGAAGAAGGUCUUCGGAUUGUAAAGCCCUUUCGGCGGGGACGAUGGUGACGGUACCCGCAGAAGAAGCCCCGGCUAACUUCGUGCCAGCAGCCGCGGUAAUACGAAGGGGGCGAGCGUUGCUCGGAAUGACUGGGCGUAAAGGGCGCGUAGGCGGACCCCGCAGUCGGGCGUGAAAUCCCCGGGCUCAACCCGGGACGUGCGCCCGAGACGCGGGGUCUGGAGUGGGGGAGAGGGUCGCGGAAUUCCCAGUGUAGAGGUGAAAUUCGUAGAUAUUGGGAAGAACACCGGUGGCGAAGGCGGCGACCUGGCCCUUUACUGACGCUGAGGCGCGACAGCGUGGGGAGCAAACAGGAUUAGAUACCCGGGUAGUCC
rnacentral:rRNA from 1 species